rnacentral:lncRNA from 1 species
UCUAAGUUUACCCUUAGAACAGUUUUUCUGGGCUAUGCUUCUUCAAGAAAAGAAUGAAAGAGUGGUUUCUAGAUUGAAAGAGUCCACUGAGAGCAAACUACAAGGAAAAAGAAAGGAAAGCAAGAUUCUGUUACCUGUAUGGUCAGAAUCAGAGAACUACAAUCACUAGAAUCCUCCCACCCAGCCUGUAAGAAUGGAAACCGUCUCUACAACAUUUUAGCCAAUCUGCAUAUCUUCAACUCCACUGAUAUCACCAUAUUUGAUAGCCCUUGUUUAACAUCUGUUGUAGUAACAGCAAAGUACUUCAUUGUUCAUGGUAAUGAAGACCACUGAAGGAUCUACAAUAGCUGCCUCUAGAGUAUAACCUUUUUGAUAUAAUGCUGAGUUCACUGUAGGUUAUUUGGUAGAUUGUCACAAAAAUAACCACCAAGGAACCACAGCUCCCUGAGUCCAUACCCAUCUGCAAAGGGACCUUGCUGCUCCUUCCAUAAAUAGGUGAGGUCUAUUUCCCUACCUUUUGAAUCUGGGCUGGCCUUGGGGCUUGAUUUAACCACAAUACUAUAGCAGAAGGAAUACUGUAUGACUUCCAAAUCUAAGCCCUUUAUGAGGCCUUGCAGCUUCCACUUUUGCCCUCCUGGAAAGCUACCCUGAGUUUGAAUGUGAAGCAGCUCAGUCUAUUCUCCUUGAUGAAAGACCACAUGGAACAAAAGGCCCAGCAGUCCCAGUCUUCCUAAUAGACCUACUAAAUACAUAUAAGCAAGCUCAGGUGAGACAGAACUACCACCCAACUAAUGAAAAGAAUCAUAAAAAUUAAACAGUUGCUCUUUCAAGUCAACUACUCACAUGCGAAAGGAGCCAGGAAGGAAUAAUCAAAAAGCAAUCUGAAUCAAUCCCUUUUAGGGAACACCCAUUGACACCACAGGGUAUUCCCUAGAACCACCACACAAUAAAGAGAAACCUGGAACUGCAGUGUACAAGUCAUUCAUAGAAUACCUUCAAGAAUAUUGGUAUUUGACUUACAAGUAUUCAGAACAUCACAUCGCAGAGAGGGGAGCUGUCAUUUAAAUUCUCAUUUCUUCCUUGGCUCUCAUUGUUACUACCUCAUUUUCAAAACAGAAAGAUUACCUGGAAUAAUUUUUUAAUUAUCUGCAAUCACUGGUUAUGAAAUGAGUAACCCACAAUUCCAACUAUGCAACUUUACAGUCAAACAAUUUCAGAAAUGAGGAAAUAAAGUGGUAGUAAAGAACUUACUUUCAUUCUCUUUUCUCCCUAAAUUACUACGGUAAUGAGAGACCUAAUAUUUCAUAAGCUCAAAAGAAAAAGAGAUGUUAGGUCAGGCACGGUGGCUCAUGCCUGUAAUCCUAGCACUUUGGGAGGCUGAGGCGGACGGACCACCUGAGGUC